GACGAACGCUGGCGGCGUGCCUAAUACAUGCAAGUUGAGCGCUGAAGGUUGGUACUUGUACCAACUGGAUGAGCAGCGAACGGGUGAGUAACGCGUGGGGAAUCUGCCUUUGAGCGGGGGACAACAUUUGGAAACGAAUGCUAAUACCGCAUAAAAACUUUAAACACAAGUUUUAAGUUUGAAAGAUGCAAUUGCAUCACUCAAAGAUGAUCCCGCGUUGUAUUAGCUAGUUGGUGAGGUAAAGGCUCACCAAGGCGAUGAUACAUAGCCGACGUGAGAGGGUGAUCGGCCACAUUGGGACUGAGACACGGCCCAAACUCCUACGGGAGGCAGCAGUAGGGAAUCUUCGGCAAUGGACGAAAGUCUGACCGAGCAACGCCGCGUGAGUGAAGAAGGUUUUCGGAUCGUAAAACUCUGUUGGUAGAGAAGAACGUUGGUGAGAGUGGAAAGCUCAUCAAGUGACGGUAACUACCCAGAAAGGGACGGCUAACUACGUG
rnacentral:rRNA from 1 species